rnacentral:rRNA from 1 species
UAAGUGGUGGAAAUUAAACCAAAUGGGAUAUCUUUAGUAAUUGCGAAUGAACAAGGAUAUGCUUAGCUUGACAAAUGGAGCUAUUGGCUUUGAAUUGUAUUGUGGAAAUGUAUUACCGACAGAGGUGCAGGUGCCAGCCUAUUGAAAUAAAGCGUCAAUGAGGGUGAGAAUCCUGUUUGUCAUGUGCAGCCCUUUGUGCACGGUGUAUAUUUGCUGAGUCACACUCCUUGGCAUUGGAAUGCAAAGUGGGUGGUAAGUUUCAUGUAAAGGUAAACAUGCAAUUGAGACUGAUAGCACACAAGUACCAUGAGGGAAAUAUGAAAAGGACUUUGAAAAGAGAAUUAAAUGAGUUUGUAUUUGCUGAACACAAAGUAAACAGACUUGAUUUGCUUGGUGGGAGUGUUGCACUUGCUUGACAAGAGCUUUGGGCUGUGGGUGUAAUGAUUCUUUCUUUGCAUGCCAGUUUCUAUUUGUACAUCUGAUUACCUUUGCACAUGAAUGAUAAGUCUCCUGUGGGGGGUGGAUUGCAUGUGCAUGUAAUGAUUUGUGUUUUGAUAAAUGUGUCUGGUGUAUGUGUGUGUUCCUGUGCUUGGGGAUGCUUCCUUCCUUGGACUUACAAGCCCUGACACACACAUGCUGGCAAAAUGCUUCUGCUUGACCCG